CAAGCGUUGUCCGGAUUUAUUGGGCGUAAAGAGUUCGUAGGCGGUUUGUUAAGUCUGAUGUUAAAGACCGGGGCUCAACCUCGGAAAUGCAUUGGAUACUGGCAGACUGGAGUGCAGUAGAGGCUAGUGGAAUUCCCAGUGUAGCGGUGAAAUGCGUAGAUAUUGGGAAGAACACCGGUGGCGUAGGCGACUAGCUGGGCUGUAACUGACGCUGAGGAACGAAAGCCAGGGGAGCAAAUGGGAUUAGAUACCCCAGUAGUCCUGGCCGUAAACGAUGGAUACUAGGCGUAGUGGGUAUCGACCCCUGCUGUGCCGCAGCUAACGCGAUAAGUAUCCCGCCUGAGUAGUACGGCCGCAAGGUUGAAACUCAAAGGAAUUGACGGGGGCCCGCACAAGCGGUGGAACAUGUGGUUUAAUUCGAAGCAACGCGAAGAACCUUACCAGGACUUGACAUCUGUGGAAUCUUUCGGAAACGAGAGAGUGCUCGCAAGAGAGCCACAAGACAGGUGGUGCAUGGCUGUCGUCAGCUCGUGUCGU
rnacentral:rRNA from 1 species